GAUAGCCUGCACGCAGACUAUAUAAUGACAUAUAUAUAUAUAUAUAUAUAUAUAUAUAUAUAUAUAUAUAUAUAUAUAUAUAUAUAUAUAUAUAUAUAUAUAUAUAUAUCAUUAUAUAGUCUGCGCGCAGGCAUAG